CGAGAGGAUUUUUAACAACCCAGGUGUCAGGCUCACUGCUGCUGACUUUGAGCCAAGUGCCAUGCUGUCUCUGUUGCUUUUGGUGGGGCCAGCUCUGCAUCAGGACAUUGCUGCGCCCCAUGGCUCUAGCAGAGCCAGGGCUCCGAGAGGGGAAAAAGGCCACGCUGCCCUCCUCCCUGCCCUGACCAUGUCUUUUGUCACAGCAGGGGCUGGAUGGGAAUAAGGAGUCCCCAGGGAGCAUGGUACAGUAGGAUGGUCUCUCGGUGCGUGCCUGUGCCUUUCUCAAGGGCGCAGGCUCCCAGGGUCCCACAGGGCUGGCUUCAUCCAGGGCGCUGCUCCCACCCCAAAAUCCAACCCUGCCACACAGUUCUGACCCAUCAUGUUGGCCCUGGGCUUAGUGAAGAGGCCACAUUUGCUGAAAGCUCUUGAAGCUGUAAGUCUGCCUGUAUGGUGUUACUGGAGCAGCAGAAGGGGAGUACCUCCAACAGGAGUCCAGACCAAGGGUGCUGGAGCAGACUGCUGACACACUGGAGGGAAACUGUGGGGUGCACGUGAUAAGGAUUCCCUCACUGUAUUUCUUUUGGUUUUUUUAUUAAACACCGGCAUUAAAA